rnacentral:lncRNA from 1 species
GUCCGCGCGCAGCUGGGGGCCUGGCCGGCCGCGUCGCCGCUCAUCUGGCGCCGAGCCCCCUCCUCGCGCCCCGGGGUCCGGGCUCGCCGCUCACACCCCUGCCCCCUAGGCCCGCGCCACGUUGCCAUGGGAAGAGGCCGGGGGCCGGAGCGCGGGGCUCGGGGGCGGGCGGGGCGCGGGGAGGAGCCUGGGGAGGUGCGCGGCCGAGGUGCCCGCCCUUCCGCGGGCAGAGCCGUAGCGCAACCCGGCCACCGCCCACUGCGCUCCGGCCGGCGAACCCCGAGCUUCUCGCCCAUGGCGGCCCCGCUCUUCCCGCGCCAGCCCUGGGCCCCCGCGCCCACCCGCUCGGACCCCGCCGACGACUCCGGGGGCCUGUUCGACGNGGCCGCGGCACGCCCCCCGCCCGAGGAGGAGGCGCCCCCCCGGGACGAGGGCUGCUACCUCGACCAUUUCCCGCACCUCUCCAUUUUUAUCUACGCGGCCAUCGCCUUCUCCAUCACCUCCUGCAUCUUCACCUACAUCCACCUGCAGCUGGCCUGAGCCGCCGGGGCCGGGGGCGCGGGAAGGGAAACCACGGCUCUGCGUGGCGUGGGCGGGAGACCCUUCAUCUAGCUUCUUUUGUCCUGUGCUUGUCACUACCUUUGCGUCCCUGCUUCUCUGGAGGCACGUCCGGAGCAGCUGCCACUAUUGAUAUAAGGCUCUGUUUGCCCCUGAGACUGGGGGAGGGGGCGGACAUCCCUCGGCGUUUAGAGGAGCGGGGUGCGGCUCACGAUUGGGACGAUGUCCCUGGACCCUAUACUUCAUGAGGUGGGAGCACGCGCAGCGAGCCCGACCUUCGGUUGCUUAAGAGACGGGCUUCCGGAGAGGGCCCCGCGGGGAGCGGGGGUCUGCGCCCUGGCCCUGGCGGGCCGCAGCCCUGUGAUGCUGCACUGUCCCCCGGAGCAUCAGGCGGGACCCAACCCCCCCCUCCCCCGAGCUGGCGGACCUGAGCGCCCCGCGGACGCCGCCGGAGCGCAGGACACGGCUUUGCUGCAGCUACCGGGCCCGGCCGAGACCCACAGCUGGAGGGGCUGUCCCGGCAGAAGGCCACGCUGUUGUCGCGCCCUGGACGGCAUGGGACCCGCGGCUGCAGACCUCCCGGGACGAGGGACCCUCGCUCGCGCGCUGCGCGGGAUGAGACUGGGGGGCCCGGGGCUGGGGUGCGCGGGAGGGCUCUCUCUCUCCGUCUUUGGCGGCUUCAUGCUGGCCCUGAGCGCUUCCGCAGCAAUGGGACACUAGACGCGGGCGUGGUGUAUCUGUCAUUGGCAAGAAUUCCUGCUGGAAAACCGUUGGGGUUGUCAUCUCCGACCCAAAAGGCCUAACACCAAAACCCAGCUUGAAUGUUAAAUGUCAUCAACCCAGUGCCCUGCUGUGUUCCCUGGAAAUGUGUGUCUUACCUCUGAUGAAAUAAAUCCCUUUUUCAGUCUCCUGUAUACUGAGUUCUCGCUAAUUCAGAGCCAUGCAGUGGGGCUGCCGAGCUUCCCAGUCUGCUCUGUUUCACCCCAUAAUCCUCAGAGCAUCCCUACAGGUGUGUCCGUGAUGAGCCUUCCCAGGGACAGCCUCUCUCUACACUGAAGAGCCAGCCGUGCAGGCCUCUCUGUGGCAUCUUUGUCUAUAUCCGGUUCCCAGGAAAUGCGACCGUCCUGUUCUGUCCCCUCACAGCAGGUCUGUGACUGUCCCCUGUGGCUUCACCGGCUGCCCCUCAGAUAUAGUCCCUGCCUGCUUCCAUUAUCAAGACACUUCUGCCCCAAUAUGGUCCCCCCACUAAACUCUAGAAUCUGGCCCCCCAUUCGCCCAGCUUGUGUCUUUAUAAACUCAGCAUAUGCCAGUCAGAGCCUUGUCACUUCCCAGGUCUGUGUUCCCACGAUCCCGCAUCACCGCAGGGCUUAGCCGACUGCCCCUCUGCCUUUCGUCUCAGUGCUACUGAUAUGAUGCCCACUGUUCCCCGAUGUCAGCCUGUGUUUACACCCACGGUUUACUACAAUAACACCCCCUGAUAAUUAGUGGCACUCUUUCCCGAAAUUAAGUCUCCAAGGAACCCGUAAUAGGUACCUCUCACUGGUUUUCCAGCCUUCAGUCUUGGAUAUUGGAUCUCCUACUGACUUUGAAUAUUGACUAAACACUGAGUCCCUACAGAGCUCCGUGUUCUCCAAACAGUCCCAUUCUUUCCCAUUCACACAUCCCCCAGAACAGUCCUUCAGGGACUACUCAGGGUAUGAUCCCCCAAUAUUCUCCCCUCCACUAAUCUCCAGAGAGUCGGUUCUCCCCUCCAUUCCCAGGGUCCCCUGUUCCUCAACAUAUGCGCCCACUUUCUACCCCAAAUUCCACUAUCCGGCUCCCGUGACUAUAUGACAAUUAGAUCCUCGUACCUCUACUAUCUGAACAUAGGCUCCAAUAUUCUCCUAAAUGUCCAAUCCCAUGUGAUCCCCUUAUUUCAAAAUUCAUUGUGUGGUUCCCCCCAAAACAAUGAUUAUCACUGCCUCUCCAAUAUGGCGCUCCAGCCUUCCCCAACAUUCUCGGCUUCGCUGUCGUCCUCAGUAGUAAGCUGCCCCCAUCCCCAGAAUGCAUUGCUUUCUUCCCGUACACCCAUAUUCUCCCCUAUUAGCCCGUACUUUCCCCCAUAUCCUGAAAUUUCCCAUAUCUCCUUGAAAUUCCUGAUUCCACUGGGCUCCAGUGGGAGCUUGGCCUAUAUUAUCUAACCAAUAUUAAAAUUCUGCUAUUCUCCCACCACCCAUGUGUACUUUCAGCAUUCCUUUGUGCCUGACCUGGCCAAUUUUCCUCUUACAUAGUUCAAAUAUCCCAUGAUAUUUGGUCCCAUAUCCCCUCCACCGCCCACCUAAUUUCACAGUUACUGCUUCCCUGUAUGGAGUUCUCAAUUGUCCUCCAAAUUUUCGGCUUCCAAAAUAUCCAGCCUCUCCAUUCGAGUACUAAUGGACUGUCUUUCCAGGGUUCAACCAUAAAAACAAAUGGGCUCAUGUUGGGGGUCCUUUUGCCACGUUGCUUAAGAAUCUAAUCCCAGAGAGUGUCUCACUGACCUGGCUAGGAUCACAUGCCCACCUUUGGCCAGAAGGCGAAAGAGAGAAUUUGAUACGCUGUCCCACGAAGGUAGGAUGCAAUGGGAAAGGAGGUUUCCCAAAGGAAAACUGGUCACCAUGACCAUGGAGGGUGGGCAGGCAAAAAUAACAGGACAUCCAGUAAAGUGACUCUCAGCAGACCACAAAUGAUGGCAGGAGAGACCACCAUUUUGGGCAACUUGUGCCCUUACACAUUGAGCUGUUAGGGGUGGGGAGGUAUACGGAGGCCGUGAAGCGAACAGUGGUUUCUGGAUUCCAUGGGACAGUAGGAAGUUUAUGUUGGGGGACGCGGUUGGAAUUGAGCUGUGUGGACAGUGGAACCUCAAG